rnacentral:rRNA from 1 species
AGUAAUCGCGGAUCAGAAUGCCGCGGUGAAUACGUUCCCGGGUCUUGUACACACCGCCCGUCACACCAUGGGAGUCGGAAAUGCCCGAAGUCUGUGACCCAACCGUAAGGAGGGAGCAGCCGAAGGCAGGUCGGAUGACUGGGGUGAAGUCGUAACAAGGUACC